rnacentral:rRNA from 1 species
GUUGAACGCUGGCGGCAGGCCUAACACAUGCAAGUCGAGCGGAUGAAGGGAGCUUGCUCCUGGAUUCAGCGGCGGACGGGUGAGUAAUGCCUAGGAAUCUGCCUGGCAGUGGGGGAUAACGUCCGGAAGCGGGCGCUAAUACCGCAUACGUCCUGAUGGAGAAAGUGGGGGAUCUUCGGACCUCACGCUAUCAGAUGAGCCUAGGUCGGAUUAGCUAGUUGGUGGGUUAAAGGCCUACCAAGCCGACGAUCCGUAACUGGUCUGAGAGGAUGAUCAGUCACACUGGAACUGAGACACGGUCAAGACUCCUACGGGAGGGAGCAGUGGGGAAUAUUGGACAAUGGGCGAAAGCCUGAUCCAGCCAUGCCGCGUGUGUGAAGAAGGUCUUCGGAUUGUAAAGCACGUUAAGUUGGGAGGAAGGGCAGUAAGUUGAUACCUUGCUGUUUUGACGUUAAUAACAGAAUAAGCACCGGCUAACUUCGUG